UAAUAUUCCUGUACUUGGUGUUACUGCGAAGGGGGGACGGAGAAGGCUAUGUUGGCCGGGCGACGGUUGUCCCGGUUUAAGCGUGUAGGCUGGUUUUCCAGGCAAAUCCGGAAAAUCAAGGCUGAGGCGUGAUGACGAGGCACUACGGUGCUGAAGCAACAAAUGCCCUGCUUCCAGGAAAAGCCUCUAAGCAUCAGGUAACAUCAAAUCGUACCCCAAACCGACACAGGUGGUCAGGUAGAGAAUACCAAGGCGCUUGAGAGAACUCGGGUGAAGGAACUAGGCAAAAUGGUGCCGUAACUUCGGGAGAAGGCACGCUGAUAUGUAGGUGAAGUCCCUCGCGGAUGGAGCUGAAAUCAGUCGAAGAUACCAGCUGGCUGCAACUGUUUAUUAAAAACACAGCACUGUGCAAACACGAAAGUGGACGUAUACGGUGUGACGCCUGCCCGGUGCCGGAAGGUUAAUUGAUGGGGUCAGCGCAAGCGAAGCUCUUGAUCGAAGCCCCGGUAAACGGCGGCCGUAACUAUAACGGUCCUAAGGUAGCGAAAUUCCUUGUCGGGUAAGUUCCGACCUGCACGAAUGGCGUAAUGAUGGCCAGGCUGUCUCCACCCGAGACUCAGUGAAAUUGAACUCGCUGUGAAGAUGCAGUGUACCCGCGGCAAGACGGAAAGACCCCGUGAACCUUUACUAUAGCUUGACACUGAACAUUGAGCCUUGAUGUGUAGGAUAGGUGGGAGGCUUUGAAGUGUGGACGCCAGUCUGCAUGGAGCCGACCUUGAAAUACCACCCUUUAAUGUUUGAUGUUCUAACGUGGACCCGUGAUCCGGGUUGCGGACAGUGUCUGGUGGGUAGUUUGACUGGGGCGGUCUCCUCCUAAAGAGUAACGGAGGAGCACGAAGGUUGGCUAAUCCUGGUCGGACAUCAGGAGGUUAGUGCAAUGGCAUAAGCCAGCUUGACUGCGAGCGUGACGGCGCGAGCAGGUGCGAAAGCAGGUCAUAGUGAUCCGGUGGUUCUGAAUGGAAGGGCCAUCGCUCAACGGAUAAAAGGUACUCCGGGGAUAACAGGCUGAUACCGCCCAAGAGUUCAUAUCGACGGCGGUGUUUGGCACCUCGAUGUCGGCUCAUCACAUCCUGGGGCUGAAGUAGGUCCCAAGGGUAUGGCUGUUCGCCAUUUAAAGUGGUACGCGAGCUGGGUUUAGAACGUCGUGAGACAGUUCGGUCCCUAUCUGCCGUGGGCGCUGGAGAACUGAGGGGGGCUGCUCCUAGUACGAGAGGACCGGAGUGGACGCAUCACUGGUGUUCGGGUUGUCAUGCCAAUGGCACUGCCCGGUAGCUAAAUGCGGAAGAGAUAAGUGCUGAAAGCAUCUAAGCACGAAACUUGCCCCGAGAUGAGUUCUCCCUGACCCUUUAAGGGUCCUGAAGGAACGUUGAAGACGACGACGUUGAUAGGCCGGGUGUGUAAGCGCAGCGAUGCGUUGAGCUAACCGGUACUAAUGAACCGUGAGGCUUAACCUUACAACGCCGAAGGUGUUU
rnacentral:rRNA from 1 species